CUUGGUCAUUUAGAGGAAGUAAAAGUCGUAACAAGGUCUCCGUUGGUGAACCAGCGGAGGGAUCAUUAUAGAGUUUUCUAAACUCCCAACCCAUGUGAACUUACCUUUUGUUGCCUCGGCAGAAGUUAUAGGUCUUCUUAUAGCUGCUGCCGGUGGACCAUUAAACUCUUGUUAUUUUAUGUAAUCUGAGCGUCUUAUUUUAAUAAGUCAAAACUUUCAACAACGGAUCUCUUGGUUCUGGCAUCGAUGAAGAACGCAGCGAAAUGCGAUAAGUAAUGUGAAUUGCAGAAUUCAGUGAAUCAUCGAAUCUUUGAACGCACAUUGCGCCCAUUAGUAUUCUAGUGGGCAUGCCUGUUCGAGCGUCAUUUCAACCCUUAAGCCUAGCUUAGUGUUGGGAAUCUACUUCUCUUAGGAGUUGUAGUUCCUGAAAUACAACGGCGGAUUUGUAGUAUCCUCUGAGCGUAGUAAUUUUUUUCUCGCUUUUGUUAGGUGCUAUAACUCCCAGCCGCUAAACCCCCAAUUUUUUGUGGUUGACCUCGGAUCAGGUAGGAAUACCCGCUGAACUUAAGCAUAUCAAUAAGCGGAGGA
rnacentral:rRNA from 1 species